rnacentral:snRNA from 2 species
AUCCUAGUGCAUGAGUCUUUUCCUGCUCUGUGAAGCAAUAAGCUGAGAGAGGAAUUUUGCUGAUUGAAAGCCUCCUAUUCUUUCAUAAAGCUACCAUCUCUCUAUGCUGGGUUCGCCGGUAUAGGAAUUUUUGGAACCUUUCUACUGAC